rnacentral:rRNA from 1 species
UACGUAGGGGGCAAGCGUUGUCCGGAUUAUUGGGCGUAAAGAGCGUGUAGGCGGCCGUACAGGUCAGCUGUGAAAACUCGAGGCUCAACCUCGAGACGUCGGUUGAAACCGUACGGCUAGAGUCCGGAAGAGGAGAGUGGAAUUCCCGGUGUAGCGGUGAAAUGCGCAGAUAUUCGCAAGAACACCAGUGGCGAAGGCGGCUCACUGGCCCGGUACUGACGCUGAGGUGCGAAAGCGUGGGGAGCAAACAGG